AACGAACGCUGGCGGCAUGCCUAACACAUGCAAGUCGAGCGAGACCUUCGGGUCUAGUGGCGCACGGGUGCGUAACGCGUGGGAACCUGCCCUUAGGUUCGGAAUAACUCCCCGAAAGGGGUGCUAAUACCGGAUAAUGUCUUCGGACCAAAGAUUUAUCGCCUUUGGAUGGGCCCGCGUUGGAUUAGCUAGUUGGUAGGGUAAAAGCCUACCAAGGCGACGAUCCAUAGCUGGUCUGAGAGGAUGAUCAGCCACACUGGGACUGAGACACGGCCCAGACUCGUGCGGGAGGCAGCAGUGGGGAAUAUUGGACAAUGGGCGAAAGCCUGAUCCAGCAAUGCCGCGUGAGUGAUGAAGGCCUUAGGGUUGUAAAGCUCUUUUACCCGGGAGGAUAAUGACAGUACCGGGAGAAUAAGCUCCGGCUAACUCCGUG
rnacentral:rRNA from 1 species